rnacentral:rRNA from 1 species
UACGUAGGUGGCAAGCGUUGUCCGGAUUUAUUGGGCGUAAAGCGAGCGCAGGCGGUUCCUUAAGUCUGAUGUGAAAGCCCACGGCUCAACCGUGGAAGGUCAUUGGAAACUGGGGAACUUGAGUGCAGAAGAGGAGAGUGGAAUUCCAUGUGUAGCGGUGAAAUGCGUAGAUAUAUGGAGGAACACCAGUUGCGAAGGCGACUCUCUGGUCUGUAACUGACGCUGAGGCUCGAAAGCGUGGGGAGCAAACAGGAUUAGA